rnacentral:rRNA from 1 species
GACGAACGCUGGCGGCGUGCCUAAUACAUGCAAGUAGAACGCUGAAGGAGGAGCUUGCUUCUCUGGAUGAGUUGCGAACGGGUGAGUAACGCGUAGGUAACCUGCCUGGUAGCGGGGGAUAACUAUUGGAAACGAUAGCUAAUACCGCAUAAGAGUAGAUGUUGCAUGACAUUUGCUUAAAAGGUGCAAUUGCAUCACUACCAGAUGGACCUGCGUUGUAUUAGCUAGUUGGUGGGGUAACGGCUCACCAAGGCGACGAUACAUAGCCGACCUGAGAGGGUGAUCGGCCACACUGGGACUGAGACACGGCCCAGACUCCUACGGGAGGCAGCAGUAGGGAAUCUUCGGCAAUGGACGGAAGUCUGACCGAGCAACGCCGCGUGAGUGAAGAAGGGUUUCGGAUCGUAAAGCUCUGUUGUAAGAGAAGAACGAGUGUGAGAGUGGGAAGUUCACACUGUGACGGUAUCUUACCAGAAAGGGACGGCUAACUACGUG